rnacentral:lncRNA from 1 species
UUUGGAAUGCAUUAAAAAAAAUAACGUGUCUAAGUAUAUUCUACAUCUAUUGUGUGAGCGAAACAUGUGAGGGCUUAUAUCUGUCCUUAACCUUAGUUUAACAACCAGUGAUAUAACACUUGGUCAACCAUUGAUUCUCCGAACUAGACAGAAUGUGUUCUUGGAAAGACAAAUUUUGAACUAUCUGCACGUAUUGUAAUACGGUAGGUGUUAUAUAUAGGCAAAAUGUUUUACGAUAUCAUUUUAUUUAUUUUUUCCAUAUCUAUAUAACUAAUUGUCGUGACCAUAUUAUAAUAAUAUUAUGAUCUGUGAUUGCUUAAUAGACAAAGCUAGCUAGAAAUAAUCAAUUGCAUGACAUGACUAUACUGAGAACGGAUGGAAUUCCCAGUCUUUUUUUUAAUCCUAAACUAACACUUAUAUAUAUGUAUGUGUGUGUGAACACAGAAAUGGGUUAGAUGGAAAUGAUAAAGAAAGUAUUUAUUUAAACUGAUAUAUCACGAAAUGUCAUUUCAACUAUUGAUAAAAAAAAAAUACAAAAACGUAAACUAUAUAUACUUUUGACUGGUUAAAAAAAACUGCAACGUUACACUAAAGUUAAAACAAUAGUGUUUAAAAAAACGGGGAUAUGGUCUCUUUGUGUGACGACGUCCAUUGUUUCUACGCACUGUUGUAUGAGAACCAGACUUUUUGAUUGAUAUAUAUAUAUGUUACUAUACAAAUCGGAAUUAGAUACAAAGAAGUGAAUUUUAUUUUAUAAUAACCUAAUAUACUGUUCCAGAUUAGAGGGCGGGUUUGGUGCCAGUAAACAUGUUAUACAACGUCACAUUCUGUAUAGGCCAGUCCCAAGUUAAGAGUCUAUAAUUAUGUAAUACAACAAACAUGAGGUGUCAAAAAUUAUUUGUACACCAGAUCCGGAUUUCGACAAUAAAUCUCUUCAGUGAUGUUAGGGAUCGAAACGGUAUUUGAUGGCAGAAUAGUGAUGCAUUUACUAAAAUGAGUGCAGAUAAUCGACAUAAUAAGAUUUAGUGGAUUAAGUAUCUAAUUAUACAGACGUCAUGGAUAAUCUACAGACAACCAUGGAACUAAGGAAAACGCACGUGAACUUCCCCGAUAUAAUGGGUAGCAACGUCCGGGAUAUGGGUUAGCAACACUCAGGGGCUAUGGGUUUUGUAACGACGAGCGUUAACCAAUCAAAAUCUUAAAAAUAUACUAAGCAGGGGAUAAUGUUUGACAUGCUUGGAGUCAGAAAUUGGAAAUUGUGCUAUUUGAGUAAGGAAAAGGUUUUUUAAUAUUGCUUUUAACUUUUAGAAGUUUGCCUCCCCACUCUACUCCCCCCGCCAGCAAACAAUCACAAACACUUUUCAAUCUAAUUCAUACAAUGAAGCUUCUUAUAAAGUGACCUGCUUCAGUGAUCCUUACCUCACAUGAAGCCGUUAGUAAAUGUCCCUCUUUUGAGUAUAAACCUAGCACGUCACGGUUAAUUGAAAGCAUUAACGGCUCAUGAUUUUUUAUAUCUACGAUUUCUUUAAACAAGAAACCUUUCUUCCUAUAUUUAAUGUGGUUGUAUUUCUGUCAAAAUGCAAAAGAAGUAUUGCCAAAGAUAAACAAGUACUAAGGUGAGGUUAAGGAAUUUGUGUCAGAUGUUCGGACUCAUUGUCCCCCCCCCCCCAACUCGAUACAAGGUAAAAUAGUUUGCCCCAUAACCCCUUUUUUCUCUUCAUAUGAGUCUUCAAUAGCUAAAAUAAAUCAUUUAUUAAAAUUCAAGCAUAUUUAUGAUUACUAAAGAUGUACUUUUAUAUAUGAUAUUUUUUAAAACAAAAAGUAAAACCGAUAUAACUCUAGAAACAUAAAUAGAAAUAUUUAUGGAAAGCCCGAAAAGAAAUAUAAGAUAAAAACCUAACUGAGACCGUUUAAAUGAGGGGGGGGGGGUAGCUCUGGUCUUUCAAUGCCCAUAAAAUUCCCUUCGAUUUGAGACCAAAAUGAUAUCGAUGCAUAUACAAGGUAAAAGUCCGAGCCAGCUUUUUCCCGCCAUUUUAAAAUAUCAAUUAUAUCGAAAAAUGCUCCAUAACCUUAAUUUUUAGCUUAUUUUGUUCCUUAACUAAUGCACUUCUGACUUAUAGUGUCAAUUUAAAACUUUUUUAGUACAUCAUUGAAGUCGUCUUCGAUUACACUUUUACAUUUUAAGUUUUAAGUGUGUCAGCAUUCUUUUUUUACUGAGCUCUGAACAGAAAAUUCUGAGAGUGGUGAGGGGUACGUACCCCUAUCUCUCUCUCUCUCUCUCUUAGUCAUAUUCUUGCAUGUGCGUUCAAGAGAACACAAUAGGCCACCCAAAAGGAUCUUCAGAAACUGAACAAAUCAAUUUGAUUUCCAGGACGACAGUAGGUUAGUGAGCGAGUGCAGAAUCGAAAAAAGUCCCGAGUAAUAGCACUUUGUUCUGCUGAAUAGCUGUCAGCAUUCAUUUGUAUCCAGUAAUCUUUGUUAAAGAUGGCAAAAAGGAUAUAAAACGAGGAGAUGCGAUAUGAAUGCCAAUGAAACCGUAUGAUCGGCUAUGAAAUGUCCCGACCUAAAUAUUAUGAAACAAUUCAUUUGAGAAAACCAAUACUAACCUAGAACUGUGGAGUUACAGCUCUUUAUAAGAAGAAACUAUAAAAACAUUAGUUGAAAAGGGCUCUACUCAUCGAUACAAAGCAGAAAAGCAUCUAACAAAAGCACAAACCGGAUGUUGCAGGGUAUUUAUACAUUCCUAACAAUUAAACAGCUACUUCAAAGCAAAAAACAACUACUAGUAAAGUUAAAACAAAUUAUGUAUUUCAGAUAAGUACACAUCUAACAUUCAAUGGAUUUAGUAUAAGGACGACACGACCUUAACAGUUGGAGAAUACAAUACCUUCCGCAAUUCCAAUAUAUAGGUAUUGACAGAUUGUAGUACCGCGAAAGUGCAUAUGUGUAUAACAAUAAUAUUUAGUAUGGAUUUAAUUUACUGAUGACAAAAUCAAUACUUAUAUACCAAGAGAAACAAUAUUUAAAAGCUGUAUGUACACAUAUUCAGCAUUAUUUUGACAGAUUUCCAGAGGUCCAAGCGACUUCGAACUUAAUAUGAAAGAAGUUAAUAUGUUUUCGCCUUCUCAAUUGAGAUUUUCUUGUUUUUCUUUCUUUCGAAGGUUGAUGAAUUGGUAUGUAGUGACGUUCAUGGAAUAUCAUCACGUGGUUUGGUUUUCACAUUCACGAAGAGUCGAUGGCAGAAGCAUCUAAUUUCCAUGCUGAUGGCAUUAUCAGUGGUAUGCCAAUUGACGAAACGAAUUUUUUACGAAUUAUCUAUCUUCUGUUAAAAGUAGCACCUCGAGCCGUGCAAGUUAAGUUUGACAAGGAGUUUAAUCCAGAUGUGCUCGACAAGGAAUUACAAAAAGCGAAAUGGACAGUGAUAGAACAGUUAAAGAAAAAGAGAAUCAUUACUCAAGCUCAAUGGAUUUUGUUGUUUCCAGAUACAGGUAAA